rnacentral:lncRNA from 1 species
ACUUCACCAGCGUCAAGCUGAUGUUUAGCAAUCAUGGACCAAGUUUAUCUUUCGUCAAUUGCACAAUUUACGUGCUAAUAAUACUCAUUUUCGUACAGUUUGUGAUCGGAUCGGAUUCGAGGUGUAUUUAUAGUGAUCACAUAAAUGGAAAGCUACAUGAAGAUACAUGAGACAAGAGGUUAACACUCUUCUAUGUGUUACCCUCUAUUAUUAGAUUGUAUUGUUG